rnacentral:lncRNA from 1 species
GGACAGUGGGCGGGACUAAGGGGGCCACCUGCAGACACACCCUGGCUUCGGGACCGUCUUCCUUCUCUUCCCCCUCGGGGCCUAGAGGAGGCCACGCGCGGGGUCUCCGAGCUCUAGGGUCCGGAGCUCUAGGGUCCUUUUAUGUAGCAAAGUCAGGCCUGGGAACAGAACUUCAUGUGCUUGUAAAAAGUCUCAGGUGCGUCCUCGUUGUUUUAGAGACUUGGAGAGGAAUGGGGGCGGGGGGAACAAAAUCCGAGGACAGUCGAGCCAAGAAAAGUCGGGGCUUCUAGGAUGCCAACCACGCCAAACAGAUCAAAACCAGGACUGGAGGACUGAAGAUGAAGCCGGCAAAAAGUCACCAGCCACGGCUCUUGUAAGGUGACCCCUGUGAAAGGAUUAUUUGACCCCCCUCCCCCAAGGGGUCACGACAUACUGGCUGAGAACCACUGCUCUAGAAGGACAUGCUCUUACCUCAGUUUUCAUGAGGUGAGGUAUGCUUCACCUCUCCUGCUAAGUCUUCAUCCCUGUCUAUGAGGACAAAGAAGUUACGGGUUAAAUUGGCGAUGGGCCAGGCGCUCCUUGAGGAUGCUCUAAAGAGGACCUGGGUUCGAUUCCUAGCACUGACAUUGUGACUCACAGCCUCCUGUAAUUUCAGUUCCAGGGAAUCUGAUGCCUUCUUCUAACCAUCACGAAGACAAAGUUGGUGAUAGAAAAUGGGAGAACUGAAGACAACCACUUUAUAAAACCCUUGCCUGCUUGAAUUUGUGGUGAUGUGCGAUGGGCGGGAGAAGAAAGGCGCGCAGCCUGAACUGUCUGUCUAGAUGGAGCACUACUGCCAUCGUGAGGAGAGCUGUCAGAAGACACCGGCACAGGAAGUGAAGGGGCAGGAUCGCCACUCCUCCCAGUUUGCUCUGAACUGUGAGCCCCACUGAAAGGGUCAGCUUUCUUUGGUGCUCUGGCUCAGACAGCACUGUCACGAUUGAACUUGGGGCCUCAGGCCUUGGGGCCUUCCCUGAGGUGGGGAAGUGAGUCCUCUACCACAGAGCCAUACAUGAAGGGCAUUUUCCUUUUGAAGCAAGGCCUCCCAGUGUUGCUUCGCUUGCCCAGGAAUUUACUCUGUUGAUCCGGCUGCUCUGAAAAGUAAGAUCCAGAGCGGGGACAGAGAGCUGCAGUCAAGACACCUUCCCUGCUCUGGGGCAACACUGCCAUCAUGGGAAAAUGUUUCCUGUAGACUAGCACAGGCACACACCUCCUCCUCCAUCCUGCUUCUCCUCAGCCAUUUUGAAGCAGGGAGGAUGAGGGGGAUUCAUGAAUGGCGAAGCUUGCCCGUUUUACUAUAUUUCUCUCCUGUAGGCAGACUGUCAUCACAGGACCCUUCAGAGUAUUAAUGCAGACCCUGGUGACAGAGGUCCAGUACCAAGUGCUCAGCUGUGCUGAGGUGCAGGGACAGGAAGCAGAUGGGCGGUUUCCAGCCCGCUCAGCUGGCCAUAACCGUGUCCUCAUGGUGGCAGUAGAGCUCCACACAAGAGCUGAACCGGCCCCUGGGAUUUGCUGCUCAGAACCUGAGUUCACUGAGACAUCAGGAGCAAGCACUGGAGGCCGGGUGCUGCUGGAUCCUGAUGGGAGCCAUGCAGGACUUGACCAUGGCCUGCACACACUUCUUCCCAGGAGAAGGGGAAUGAGGAAGGAAUCAUGGGAAGGAGGAGAAUGGCACUGAGAGUUUUGAAACCGUGUCCUCGGACUGGCCCCUGGGAUUUGCUGCUCAGUUCACUGAGACAUCAGGAGCAAGCACUGGAGGCCGGUGCUGCUGGACCCAGAUGGGAGCCAUGCAGGACUUGACCAUGGCCUGCAUACACUUCUUCCCAGGAGAAGGGGAAUGAGGAAUCCAGCCUCCUUAGGUUUGGCAUUGAUAAAAAAUGCAAAAUGGAAGGCAGACUGGCAUCACAGGACAUUUUAGAGCAUUACUGUACACCCUGGUGACUGAGGUCCAUUAUCAAGUGUGCAGCGGUGCUGAGGUCCAGGGACAGGAAGCAGAAGGGCGGGUUCCAGCCCGCUCAGCUGGCCAUGAUAACACCACUCUGAUGACUCUUGGGUGGCGUGGAUCGAACUGGACGAUGAAUUUUAACCUCCACACCACAAGCACUGGGGUAGAAGACUGCUGCUGGGUGAAGAAGAGACUAGACUUGAUCAUUGAGCAGCCACUCACUGAUAUCUUCAGUGCUGCAUGAGGAACUGGUGAAGAUACAGAUGGAUGCUCUGGCUGAGUCGCUACCUUGAAAUGAAAAUGGGAGGUAAACUCUCCCAUAGAUGAAUCUUCCUCAUUUUGAAGGUAAAGCAGAGCUACAGUGCAGAGCCAUUACAGCUUCAUUCCCAUGAAUCCUAGUAGUGGGGACACAAUGCCAGAACCGGCCCCUGAGAUUUGCUGCUCAGAACCUGAGUUCACUGAGACAUAGGGAGCAAGCACUGGAGAUCCGGUGCUGCUGGACCCAGGUGGGCGCCAUGCAGGACUUGACCAUGGCCUGCACACACUUCUUCCCAGGAGAAGGGGAGUGAGGAAGAACCGGCCCCUGGGAUUUGCUGCUCAGAACCUGAGUUCACUGAGACAUCAGGAGCAAGCACUGGAGGUCGGGUGCUGCUGGACCCAGGUGGGCGCCAUGCAGGACUUGACCAUGGCCUGCACACACUUCUUCCCAGGAGAAUGGGAGUGAGGAAGGCAGACUAGCAUCACAGAACCUUUCAGAGUAUUAACGCUGACCAUGGUGACUGAGGUCCAUUAUCAAGUGCGCAGCUGUGCUGAGGAAUCAUGGGAAGGAGGAGAAUGGCACUGUGAGUUUUGAAACCGUGUCCUCAUGGUGGCAGUAGAGCUCCACACAAGAGCUGAACCGGCCCCUGGGAUUUGCUGCUCAGAACCUGAGUUCACUGAGACAUCAGGAGCAAGCACUGGAGGCCAGGUGCUGCUGGACCCAGAUGGGAGCCAUGCAGGACUUGACCAUGGCCUGCACACACUUCUUCCCAGGAGAAGGGGAAUGAGGAAGGUGCAGGGACAGGAAGCAGAAGGGCAGGUUCCAGCCCGCUCAGCUGGCCAUGGACUGGCCCCUGGGAUUUGCUGCUCAGGACCUGAGUUCACUGAGACAUCAGGAGCAAGCACUGGAGGCUGGGUGCUGCUGGACCCAGAUGGGAGCCAUGCAGGACUUGACCAUGGCCUGCACACACUUCUUCCCAGGAGAAGGGGAAUGAGGAAGGCUUGAAGGUGAGAGAAGGGUAAUCAAGGAUGGCCUUUGUGGCCAUAUGUGGUGUCCUUCUGCGUAGUGGGGACACAAUGCCAGAACUGGCCCCUGGGAUUUGCUGCUCAGAACCUGAGUUCACUGAGACAUCAGGAGCAAGCACUGGAGGCCGGGUGCUGCUGGACCCAGAUGGGAGCCAUGCAGGACUUGACCAUGGCCUGCACACACUUCUUCCCAGGAGAAGGGGAAUGAGGAAAAGCUUGCUCGUUUUACUGUAUUUCUCUCCUGUAGGCAGACUGUCAUCACAGGACCCUUCAGAGUAUUAACUCAGACCCUGGUGACAGAGGUCUAGUACCAAGUGCACAGCGGUGCUGAGGUGCUGGGACAGGAAGCAGAAGGGCAGGUUCCAGCCCGAUCAGCUGGCCAUUGCUCCUGCUGUCGGUAAUUGGCAGCCAUCUUCUGCCAUUGCUAAGAAUCAUGGGAAGGAAGCUCGAACUAGAUCCUAAGAGCAGAAGACAAUCAUAUGUCCUGAGAACCCAUUGGAGGUUGAACAGCGCUGGGUGGAUGGAGAAAGGCAGAAAUGCAGAAUUUCGUCAUUGCCUGGAUGCUGACUUUAUCCAAAGAGAAGAUGCAUGAGGAGUGUACAUGCCUCAGGUCUCACUUGGCUUUCUCUUUCCUUCUUGCUUUGUUCUGGUUUUGGUCUUUUGUCCUUUGGAGUUCCAAGUCAGGAGGAGUUGUAGUUGGUCUGGCAUACAUGUAAAAUGAAAGCAGAAGGGGGCCUGCAGGAAAGGCUUCCUCAACUCACUUGGAAGGAGGAAGGCAAGGCUGCCACCACCAUUACUGGACUCCAAUUGUAGUUGCUUUUUUUUUUUUAAUCGGAAAGGCGGGAGCAGGCUGCUGUGAGCUGGUUUUUGUUUCUUCUGUAGAGCAACACUGCCAUCGUGCGGAACAUAUUGCAUACAUACCUGAAUGCAGGUCUCUUUCUCUAUGGUGGACUAACAAAUAGGAAGGAAGGCUAUGGUCUGAGAGAACUGGAUGCUGAGACAUGCCCCCGCGAUCCCAAGACCACCAGGUACCGUGAGCAAUCACUGGAGCUGGAACACUGCUGCCUGAGGAAGAGAAGAAGUGCAGGCUUGUCAUUGUCUAUGCUGUUACUUGUGGUUCCCGGGUCUUCAGAGAGGAUGCACAAGAACGGGAGGUGGGUGCUUCAGACACAUUUUCAGUCCCCCCUGUCUCUCUGUCUUUUGCUGCUUGACUUCUGAUACAGGACCUUAUGAACCGGCCCCUGGGAUUUGCUGCUCAGGACCCGAGUUCACUGAGACAUCAGGAGCAAGCACUGGAGGCCGGGUGCUGCUGGACCCAGAUGGGAGCCAUGCAGGACUUGACCAUGGCCUGCACACACUUCUUCCCAGGAGAAGGGGAAUGAGGAAGGUCUGGAUCCCCUAGGGUUGCCACCAGGAUCACCAGAAAGUUUGUUAAAUAGAGAAGCACUUGAUAGAAGGCACCUGGAUAAGGAUGGACAGAAAUCAGAGGCCUUGGCUAUCUGGAUUCUGACUUCUUCAAAAAGAUGAGAUGAUAGAUGAGGAAAGCCCGUCCGUGGUGUUAGAGACUUUGGCCCCACACCCAUGCCGUGCAGCUCUGCCAGGGCCUACCUGCUUGACUCAACCCUUUUUGUUCCCUCACCCUCUCUGGGUAACUGAGAGAUUUAUACCUUGGCUAUCCUGGGAAUGUCUUUCUAAACUAAUAAAAUUGUUCUUGAGUUUCCUUCUG